GUCUCACACAAAGCAGAUUGCUCACAAAUUGACUGAAGGUAAAGCACCCAGGAAGCAACUGCCUACAAAAGCUGCUCCGGCUGGGCGAGGUGGCUCACGCGGCGAAGAAACCUCGUCAUUACAGGCCUGGUACUGUGGCACUCCGUGAAAUUAGCCAUUAUCAGACAUCUACUGAACUGAUUCGCAAACUUCCCUUCCAGCAUCUGGUGUGAGAAAUUGCUCAGGACUUUAAAACAGAUCUGCCGUUGCAGAGUGCAGCUUAGUGGUGCUUUGCAGGAGGCAAGCAAAGCCUAUCUGGUUGGCUUUUUGAAGACACCAACCUGUGUGCUGUCCAUGCCAAACGUGUAACACCUAUGUCAAAAGACAUCCAGCUAGCACGCCGCAUGCGUGAAGAAUGUGCUUAAGAAUCCAUUAUGAUGGGGGAAACUUCAUUCUUAAAAAAAAAAAGUCUCUGCUUCCUGUCAUUGGUAGUUCUGAAUGUUAGAUAUUUUUUCCCCAUGGGGUCAAAAGGUACCUAAGUAUACGAUUGUGAGCAGAAAAAUAGGAGACAGAAGUCAGGUGUUGUCAGUUUUCAAUUUUCAUUUGUGUGUGAAUUUUUAAUGUAAAUGUAGGUGGGGAAGUAAAGCAUUAAUGCAAGUCAAAAUGUUUCAGUGAACAUUUCAGUGGUUCAACUUUAUAAUAAUUUAAGCAAACUUAUUAAAUUUUUCUGGA
rnacentral:lncRNA from 10 species